UAUUCAGUGCUGCUGAAGCUGCAGUGAGACCAGUACGCUCAUACACUGAGUUAUUAGAAACUGCUGAAAUCUUUCCAAAGAGCAAUUAAGUAAUGCUUAACAAAAGCCUUUGAUGCAACAAUUACACAAGGUAGUCCAAGACUUUUCCAUAAACCAGUCAUCACUAUGCUAUUUAUUAUAACACAUAUAGAAUAAAAAACUAAAUGCCCUCAAAUAACAAAUGAAAGUAUGGUGAUCUCUAAGCUGGAUUGCCCAGCCAUUAGAAAUAUGUUCAAAUAAUUUUUAAUGGAAAGAGAAAAUUCUUACACUCUGGAAAAGCUUCUCAGAGGAAGUGUUAUUGAGCUGGUUUUUUAAGGAUCAGUAAGGGAGUAGAAAAGAAUUCCAGCCAUAAUGGAUGGGUAUAUAAAGGAAAGGAAGCAUUCAAGAGUUGGAUAAGAUUAUACUCACCCAUAUGAGAUAGUAUAUGUAUUUUUUAGCUUCAAGUCUGGGCAAUGAGGUAAAAAGGUUCCUCAAGGUUCUUUAUUCUAGAAUUCUAUGACAAUGUGUUGAGAAUCUUGUCAUGCAAUAAGGUGUUUGCCACGUAUUAUUCCAAAUGCAAAUAGCUAAACAAGAUCAGAAGAAUUUGAAAAAUUUGCCAAAACCCCAGUCUCAUACCAGAUUCGCUACAUGGGCAAGAAGAUAUGUGAUACUUACAUUAAUUCCUACAAGAAUCUGAAAGUGAAGCUCCACUGGCAGGAGAGCAGAGCGGAGCGGCAGAGGAGGAGAGAAGAGAAGCAGCUGGAGAAAAGCAGCUUGACUUCAGAGGGAUGGCUUGAUGGCAGGACUUCAGAGAAGAGUUUGGCCAGGCAUGGCCAAACUCCAGGGGAAGAUUAUCUGCUCACUCCAUCCCUCUCCAGCUCCCCUUCCCACUGAGAGCCACUUCCAUCUCUCAAUAAAAUUAUCCGCAUACACCACCCUUCAACUGGUUCUUGUGACCUGAUUCUUCCUGGAUGACAGACAAGAACUUGAGUACCAAGAGGGAAGAGUAUAAAAGGCUGUGACCCUCACCCUCCACUGAGGUGGUGAACACUUAGCCAUCUGCGAACAGCAAACGCUAAAAGAGCACUGAUUGUAACACAUGCCCUCUGGGGCUCUGGGGGUCACAGACACCCCCUCCCGGAAGGCAGAGCUAAAAGAGCAUUGUAACAUGCUUGGACUCUGCCGCGAGGCCUGCUCAAAGCUUGAUCCUACCAGAGAGGAGUGACCAGAUGGUUCCAGCAUUUGUUCGCCCCGGCUCCUGCACCUGCUCACCUGUGUGCUUCCGCUUCUUGAGGGGUUCAGAGCUUUGGGCUGAGUAAAUGAGCUACCCCUUCACAAGUCCUGUGAAGAGGUCAAGGGAAAUAUCCCGUCUUAAAGUUGCAAGAAUGAAGGAAUGUUCUUACCAGUAUACUGCAUUGUAGCCCCUAAGUAU
rnacentral:lncRNA from 1 species